CGCAUUGGCGCGUGCCAGUGGUACCAGUGGUGGCGUUCCAGCAAGCUCGUGAACUUCACCAGGAACACAGCUGAGCAUUUUCAGCUCUAGAUAAAAUACCUGGAAUUACUGCACGUAUAUCCGCGACAUGGUGCAGGAUUUCGAAAAGAAGACAUCUGAGGCAAGAAUGCUUCCACCACCAUUUGACACGUGCUUCAUGGUCUCUACUGUGCCUAUGACAAGAAGGGAGCACAAACGAAGUUGAAGUUGUGAAGAUAACAACCGGUAUCACAAGGCCACAAGUCAAUGUGGACGACUUUAUUGAUAUGAUUUCAGCUGCUUUCAGAAACCGCAGCAGCAGACAUAACUGAUCACAACUUUUGUUCUUCUUAUGAGAAAAGUAUUUUCCUAUGCCAACUGUGUAAGAAGUCCUGCUUACUAAAGUGUUAAAAAAUGUCAAUACAGAAACUUG